AGUGAACGCUGGCGGUAGGCCUAACACAUGCAAGUCGAACGGCAGCACAGUAAGAGCUUGCUCUUACGGGUGGCGAGUGGCGGACGGGUGAGGAAUACAUCGGAAUCUACUUUUUCGUGGGGGAUAACGUAGGGAAACUUACGCUAAUACCGCAUACGACCUACGGGUGGAAGCAGGGGAUCUUCGGACCUUGCGCGAUUGAAUGAGCCGAUGUCGGAUUAGCUAGUUGGCGGGGUAAAGGCCCACCAAGGCGACGAUCCGUAGCUGGUCUGAGAGGAUGAUAAGCCACACUGGAACUGAGACACGGUCCAGACUCCUACGGGAGGCAGCAGUGGGGAAUAUUGGACAAUGGGCGCAAGCCUGAUCCAGCCAUACCGCGUGGGUGAAGAAGGCCUUCGGGUUGUAAAGCCCUUUUGUUGGGAAAGAAAAGCAGCAGGUUAAUACCCCGCUGUUCUGACGGUACCCAAAGAAUAAGCACCGGCUAACUUCGUG
rnacentral:rRNA from 1 species